rnacentral:rRNA from 1 species
GAGGCAGCAGUGGGGAAUAUUGGACAAUGGGGGAAACCCUGAUCCAGCCAUGCCGCGUGUGUGAAGAAGGUCUUAGGAUUGUAAAGCACUUUAAGUUGGGAGGAAGGGCAGUUAACUAAUACUUGACUGUUUGACG